CCUCUCCCUCUCUCUCUCUCUCUCUCUCUCCUCCAAAACCACGACCAUCUUCUCUCUUUCUUCUCCGUGUAUGAGCCCAAGCUGGUUAGAACUUGGAUGAGUAUCAAUAGACACUUCCCAAUCAGUUUUCCAGCUCCGUCCGGCCUCUUCUCGGUGGCGCACCGCCUACUUUAGGACCACCUCGACGUCGUGACCAAACCUGUGGCCUGGGUUUCCACCGACGGUCUACGGCAUAGUCGAUUCGAAGGAGGGGAGUUUCUUUGGUUCCGAAGGUUUUCUUGUGUUUUCCGGCGACUCCGGUCGCCGAUGAUGACAUGCAAGGAGGUUUGAACUUCGAAUUGGAGAAGGGAACGAGAGAGAGAAGGGUAUCCACCAAUUGUCCUGGGUUGCGUUAUUGGAGAACAGCCACACUGUUGUUGGUGUGUGCUGAUGCGUGAACUGGUCUGAUCGAUACAACCUGCAAUUGAAUUUGGAAUGAAGAUCACAAUCUGUGCAAUUCUUAAUUAAGGUAUAAUUCCAAACUCUGGGUGGGCUUGGAGGUCGUCGACUGAUGUGAGAGAAGCAUUUUUGGGUGGUACCCGACAGAUCAAAGAGAGGAGUUGCCGAGAUUGUUGACUUGUGGCAGCGGAAUCAAACUCACGGGCUAGUGUGCGUGAAGAGGCAGAUGCGAGAGAGAAGGGUCCGGGUGCAGAGAGAGGAUUCGGGGUGUCCAAAUCAACUUUCCUGGGUCUGCGCCGCCUUCGAAUCCAUGGCUCUGCAAAUGGGUCUCUGUUCUUUAACCUCGCAGCUAGAAAGAGGAAUCCAGCUUGGGCUCGUACAUGGAGAAGAAAGAGAGAAGAUGGUCGUGGUUUUGGAGAAGAGAGAGAGAGAGAGAGAGAGAGGACCCAAAAAGAAAAGAAAAAAUAUGACUUUAGGGUAUUUUAGGAAGUGUAAAAUGUUGUGAGAUGAAAUAGUAUUAAAAAAAUAAAAGGGUUUGCCAUUUGCAUUACUUGGAUGCACUUGUUAUAUGGCGCCUAAGGAUCUUAUCACCGAAGUCUUAAGCAAUUCCCAUCCUCUCACUGGAGAAAAGGAUAAUACAUGACAUUUUCGAUCAUCUAGCUAAUUAUAUAUAUAUGUAUAAGGCCCCUCAAAUUGUCUUAAUCUGUGCAAACUUAUGUAAAUUAAC